CGGCUGAGUAACACGUGGGCAACCUGCCCUCCUCUUGGGGAUAGCCUCGGGAAACCGAGGAUAAUACCCGAUACUUCAAUGUGGCCGCAUGACGACAUUGAGAAAGCUUUUGCGGAGAAGGAUGGGCCCGCGGCCUGUUAGCUUGUUGGUGGGGUAGAGGCCUACCAAGGCAAUGAUGGGCAGCUGGGUUGAGAGACCGACCAGCCAGAUUGGGACUGAGACACGGCCCAGACUCCUACGGGAGGCAGCAGCA
rnacentral:rRNA from 1 species